rnacentral:rRNA from 1 species
AUUGAACGCUGGCGGCAGGCCUAACACAUGCAAGUCGAACGAGUGGCGGACGGGUGAGUAAUGUCUGGGAAACUGCCUGAUGGAGGGGGAUAACUACUGGAAACGGUAGCUAAUACCGCAUACCAUCAGAUGGGCCCAGGUGGGAUUAGCUUGUUGGUGGGGUAACGGCUCACAAAGGCGACGAUCCCUAGCUGGUCUGAGAGGGUGACCAGCCACACUGGAACUGAGACACGGCCCAGACUCCUACGGGAGGCAGCAGUGGGGAAUAUUGCACAAUGGGCGCAAGUCUGAUGGAGCCAUGCCGCGUGUAUGAAGAAGGCCUUCGGAUCGUAAAGUACUUUUAUUGGGGAGGCGGUACCUGAAGAGAAAGCCACGGCUAACUCCGUGCCAGCAGCCGCGGUAAUAC